rnacentral:rRNA from 1 species
UUCGCAAUGCCCGAAAGGGUGACGAAGCGACGCCGCGUGUGGGAAGAAGGCCUUCGGGUUGUAAACCACUGUCGGGAGUUAAGAAGUGUAGGGGUGUUAAGAGCAUCCUUACUUGACUAAGGCUCCGGAGGAAGCCACGGCUAACUCUGUGCCAGCAGCCGCGGUAAUACAGAGGCGGCAAGCGUUGUUCGGAAUUAUUGGGCGUAAAGAGCACGUAGGCGGCCUUGUAAGUCAGUUGUGAAAGCCUUCUGCUUAACGGAAGAACAGCAGCUGAUACUGCAAGGCUAGAGUGCGGAAGGGGAGAGUGGAACUUCCGGUGGAGCGGUGAAAUGCGUAGAUAUCAGAAGGAACACCGGCGGCGAAGGCGACUCUCUGGUCCGUAACUGACGCUGAGUGUGCGAAAGCUAGGGGAGCAAACGGGAUUAGAUACCCCGGUAGUCCUAGCCGUAAAC